CGCUGAAGACUCGGAGGCUGGACCAGGCGGCGCUGAAGACUCGGAGGCUGGACCAGGCGACGCUGAAGACUCGGAGGCUGGACCAGGCGGCGCUGAAGACUCGGAGGCUGGACCAGGCGGCGCUGAAGACUCGGAGGCUGGACCAGGCGGCGCUGAAGACUCGGAGGCUGGACCAGGCGGCGCUGAAGACUCGGAGGCUGGACCAGGCGGCGCUGAAGACUCGGAGGCUGGACCAGGCGACGCUGAAGACUCGGAGGCUGGACCAGGCGACGCUGAAGACUCGGAGGCUGGACCAGGCGACGCUGAAGACUCGGAGGCUGGACCAGGCGACGCUGAAGACUCGGAGGCUGGACCAGGCGGCGCUGAAGACUCGGAGGGUGCUGCAGGCGUGGCAGAUGAGGCCGCAGGUGACGGCGAGGAAGCCGGAGACGAUGAGGCCGCAGGUGACGGCGAGGAAGCCGGAGACGAUGAGGCCGCAGGUGACGGCGAGGAAGCCGGAGACGAAGAGGCCGCAGGUGACGGCGAGGAAGCCG
ensembl:lncRNA